rnacentral:lncRNA from 1 species
UCACUGUGAAAUUGCCAAUUCUAAACUUGUAUUUCUUCCUCUACUGUAGGAGAUUUAUACUGUCAUUUGAUUAGCCCCUGGUGUGGAAUCAGAAGGUCACACAUUUGUUUUUGAGUUGAAUGGCUGCCCAGCUGUGUACGUAUGCACCAGAACAGAGCAGGGGAAUGAAGGGGACACCCAGGGAGUUAUCAUGGUGAGUUAUAUGUGCUUUAACAACCCUUCUUGUUACUUGAUUCUUUGAUCAACUCUGAUGUUUAGUGUUCUGCAUUAGUCAUAUGAACCUCUCCUUAUAGUAUUCCGUCGAGGCCUUUCCGAGAGGUUGGAUAGGUUUAAGGGUUUAAAUUUUAACCCUGGUCUGUACACCAAUGAAUGCCAAUGUUUAUGCAUAUAUUUGAAUAGAUUACUGUCCAGUAGAUGAAUCGGUGAAGUGAGAGCAUGUAGUAAUGGUAGGGUAGGUAUGAUUUUAUUUCAAGUUUUGUGUGAAACAUCCUAGCAAUUACUUAUGUGGUUAUAUAAUGAUAUAUUUAGGAUGGGCCUUCAGGUGUUGAGACCAGAAAAAAUAGAAACUGAAAUUUUAUUUGUAUUAAUUCCCUUGUUUCCAUUUUUUGGAAUUUCUUGCUUUUUUAAUUGGUGUUAUGCUUUCAAGGUCCAUAAUCCUUGUGAUGUUUUCUUCUAUUGAUUUACAGGUCCUUGCGGUUGUCAUUCACAUGACUGUGCCAUUCACGUUUGUACAGGGUGAACUCUGUUAUGUUCGUCUAUUUACUCGGUGGUUACUAGAGAAUAUAUUGCAUGUGCCCUGUCUUGGUUGAUAGUGUAUCUUGCUCUUGCUUUCUUACGGUCGAGGAGAUGGAUAGAUAUAGAUUCUAGGCAUGUCCUUGGUCCUUGCAAAAGAGGUUUUUUUUUUGCUGCCUUCAUUGCUUUAUUUGGUACCUUGCUCUUUCCACUGUCGAUCAGGAGACAAAUUUGGCAUCAACCCCUGUCCUUGCUCUUUGCAGAGGAGGAUUUUGUUCUUUUCUUCGAUGGAUGUACAUUUUGCUCAUCUGCUGACCAUUAUGUCUUUCCAACCUGCAGUAUUUCUCGGUUCGCUAUACAGGGAUGGAACUUGCAGAACACAUUAAUUUACCGGUAGAUGGCGUGUGUGUUGAACUCGUGUGUGGAUGCGCAACGGGGCAAGUCUGUGUGAUGUAAGGUGUGGACAGAAGAGCGACAAUAACUACGGGGUUGGUCAAAGAUUGAAAGAAAUCUCUUAUGUGUCUUCGGCUUCGACACUGUGUCUUCGGCUUCGACACUACGCAUAGGAAGUCGUUGCUGAUAAUCCAAUCUUUGAAAAGGUUAGUUCAAGGUUCAUAACGCAGGUUCAUGUGGCGCAUGAAAUGUUGAAGUCAAGACGAUCAGGUGGAUCUAUCAAAAAAAUAUGCUUCUGUGGAACUACAUAGGUUCUUUGUUGCCGCUGUGGCUUGAUUUUGUUGUAUGAAAAGUACAUUGUCUGUAUCAAAUUUGAUGUGGAUUGACGAACGGUUCUACUGACAAAAUCCCUUAUGGUUACUUUGCAUUUGCUACAUGUGACUGCCUUGCCUUCUGCCAUGACUUUGACAAAUGA